UGUAACAAACAACAAUUGUCAAUUUUUGAGCUCAAAUGCGAAAUACAAAAAUUAAAACAAAAUAAAAAUAUACUAAAAUGCACUUUGUUUAAUUAGCGCUUGUCGCAGCGACUCAAGUGGCCCGUGGUUCUGUGCAGUGUGCUCAUUGUUCAUGUCGGACAUGAAUAGGCCUUUAAGAGCGCAAUAAACAGGCAAACAAACAAACAAGCCAUACACCACAGCCACGCCCACCAAUUAUAAUGAAUAGGAUUUGUGUCCGUGUGUCCGUGCCUGUGUCUGUGUCUGUGUCUUUGCCUCCAAUUGCAGCUCGUAGAUCUGAGUUUAACUCCAAUUGUGGACUGAAAGUUGUGGACCUCGGGCGGGCUGGACUUGUUUGUAUGCUGUGUACUGGACCUGUUUGUGUCUGGCCAACAUGUCCCAAGUCUAUUGUUCUGCGGCAUGCUGUCUGACCAAGGUCUGAGUGUGGCCGUGAUUUGUCUAUGCCUGUGAAGCCAGCCUUUGUGCCCCGCACCACCCAGAGCAUCUAAUGCUGUCUCACUAAUUGGCAGUUUAACAGCAUAACUGUCCGAACUUGGCUUGGAGUGGGAUUAUGAUUAUGCAAUUUCAAUUAGAGCUGACUAAUGGCCAUAAGCAUGUAAAACCCCCAAUCAACCGUCUAUGCCUAUAUUUUAAUCAGUUGAUGUGCUACGCUUGUGUUUCGGAUAUCAACUUACAAAUUAUUGAACUUCCGCAUAUCAAUUAAACUUU